AACGAACGCUGGCGGCAGGCCUAAUACAUGCAAGUCGAGCGCUCUCUUCGGAGGGAGCGGCGGACGGGUGAGUAGCGGGUGGGAACGUGCCCUUCUCUAAGGAAUAGCCACUGGAAACGGUGAGUAAUACCUUAUACGCCCUUCGGGGGAAAGAUUUAUCGGGGAAGGAUCGGCCCGCCUAAGAUUAGGUAGUUGGUGGGGUAAUGGCCUACCAAGCCUACGAUCUUUAGCUGGUUUGAGAGGAUGAUCAGCCACACUGGGACUGAGACACGGCCCAGACUCCUACGGGAGGCAGCAGUAGGGAAUCUUAGACAAUGGGCGAAAGCCUGAUCUAGCCAUGCCGCGUGUGUGACGAAGGCCUUAGGGUCGUAAAGCACUUUCGCCAGGGAUGAUAAUGACAGUACCUGGUAAAGAAACCCCGGCUAACUCCG
rnacentral:rRNA from 1 species